GCGCCGCAGGGCGAGGCCUUCAGCCUGGAGAGCUGCCAGAACUGGCUGCCCGGGGAGCCACACCCAGCCACAGCUGAGCACUGCGUCCGGCUCGGGCCCACCGGGUGGUGUAACACCGACCUGUGCUCAGCGCCGCACAGCUACGUCUGCGAGCUGCGGCCUGGAGGUGUGCGGGGGGCCAGGCAGGGGCCUGAGACGCUGGCUGUGGUUAGGGGCCUGCCGAGGCCGAGAACCUCCUCGUGGGAGCGCCCAGUGGGGACCUGUAGGGACCCCUGAUGCCUCUGGCACGGCAGUACGGCCUCUCAGCCCCGCACGAGCCCCUGGAGGUCAUGGUAUUCCCGGGCCUGCGUCUGAGCCGUGAAGCCUUCCUCACCACGGCCGAAU
rnacentral:lncRNA from 1 species